GAAAACCAAAUUUCAUUUUCUUCAGCUAGAAAAGAAAUAUCACCACCUUCUAUGGUGGAUGGGAUAUCAAACAAGUCAUUUAGAAGUUCAUCUAACAGGCUUCACGAGCCAACUAAUGAAGGAAUUUUGGAUGGUUCCCUAAGAACUUUAUCUUCUAACUCUUCUCCACAUCAUGCUAGGAUGGAUAAAGCUGCUAAAACUGACACUGGACUUGACUUUGAUCGGUGCUUAAAAGCUUCUUUGCAUGCUCAACCUUACUUGGUUGACUCUACUUUUGCUUCACAAAAUAUUGAAGAAACUUUCAGAGAUUGUGAUGGUCCAAAUGGUUAUGGUGAGAAGUCAUAUCCUGCUUCAGUUUCUUCCAAAAGGGAAAAUGCUGCAACAUGUGAUGGCAAGUUA
rnacentral:misc_RNA from 1 species